rnacentral:sRNA from 1 species
AUGUUGAUGGUGACAGCAGCAGUGACCUUAGCGGCCAAGAGGUGGCCGAAUACUUACUCUAAUGGGCUGGCCCAAGCCUGAGUGUCUAGAGUUCCCAGCUCGCUUAAGGAAGGAAGGAAAACACAGGCAGCUCUAAGUGUGCGAUGAGAGAGGUCUCAUCGGCAGUGAGGAAGCCCAGGCGGGUCCCCUUCCCAGCUGAAAGGAGUUCGGAAUUUCACUCUGUCGCCAGGCUGGAAUGCAGUAGGGCAAUCUCAGCUCACUGCAACCUCCACCUCGUGAGUUCAAGUGAUUCUCCUGCUUCAGCCUCCUGAGUAGCUGGGACUACAGGUGAGCACCACCACAUCCAGCUAAUUUUUGUAUUUUUAGUAGAGAUGGGGUUUCACCAUGUUGGCCAGGCUGGUCUCGAUCUCCUGACCUCGUGAUCCAUCUGUCUCGGCCUCCCAAAGUGCUGGGAUUACAGGUGUGAGCCACCAUGCCCGGCCAUGGACUAAGGUCUUAAAAUAGCUCUUCCUGCCUGUGUAAUCUGCAUUAUGGCAGGGCUCAUAUAAGAAGAUGACAGUUCAUCUGAUGGGGAAGAAAACUUACUCCUAGUUAGAGUGACUUGGGUUGAAUUCUUCCCUGUUUCCAACGGUGUCUGCUCCUGGCACCUCAGGCACUGUCAGGGGUAGGAGGUGGUGAUCAGAUAUGCUGGCUGUGAGCAGUGCAAGGGGAAGCAGGUGCCCAGAGG